GGAGAGGUGGCAGAGUGGUCGAAUGCGCCGGUUUGCUAAAUCGGUGACCGGGGAAACCUGGUUCGCAGGUUCGAAUCCUGUCCUCUCCG
rnacentral:tRNA from 3 species